AUCAUGGCUCAGGAUGAACGCUAGCUACAGGCUUAACACAUGCAAGUCGAGGGGCAGCAUGAAGUUUGCUUGCAAACUUUGAUGGCGACCGGCGCACGGGUGAGUAACGCGUAUCCAACCUGGCCCUUAGUAGGGGAUAGCCCGGCGAAAGUCGGAUUAAUACCCUAUGUUUUUCCUAUGAGGACAUCUGAGCAGGAACAAAGAUUUAUCGCUAAGGGAUGGGGAUGCGUCUGAUUAGCUUGUCGGCGGGGUAACGGCCCACCGAGGCGACGAUCAGUAGGGGUUCUGAGAGGAAGGUCCCCCACAUUGGUACUGAGACACGGACCAAACUCCUACGGGAGGCAGCAGUGAGGAAUAUUGGUCAAUGGGCGAGAGCCUGAACCAGCCAAGUAGCGUGCAGGAUGACUGCCCUAUGGGUUGUAAACUGCUUUUAUGCGGGAAUAAAGUGCAUCACGUGUGGUGUUUUGUAUGUACCGCAUGAAUAAGGACCGGCUAAUUCCGUGCCAGCCGCUGC
rnacentral:rRNA from 1 species